AUGAACGCUAGCUACAGGCUUAACACAUGCAAGUCGAGGGGCAGCAUUUUAGUUUGCUUGCAAACUAAAGAUGGCGACCGGCGCACGGGUGAGUAACACGUAUCCAACCUGCCGAUAACUCGGGGAUAGCCUUUCGAAAGAAAGAUUAAUAUCCGAUAGUAUAUUAAAACCGCAUGGUUUUACUAUUAAAGAAUUUCGGUUAUCGAUGGGGAUGCGUUCCAUUAGUUUGUUGGCGGGGUAACGGCCCACCAAGACUACGAUGGAUAGGGGUUCUGAGAGGAAGGUCCCCCACAUUGGAACUGAGACACGGUCCAAACUCCUACGGGAGGCAGCAGUGAGGAAUAUUGGUCAAUGGACGAGAGUCUGAACCAGCCAAGUAGCGUGAAGGAUGACUGCCCUAUGGGUUGUAAACUUCUUUUAUAUGGGAAUAAAGUAUUCCACGUGUGGGAUUUUGUAUGUACCAUAUGAAUAAGGAUCGGCUAACUCCGUGCCAGCAGCCGCGGUAAUACGGAGGAUCCGAGCGUUAUCCGGAUUUAUUGGGUUUAAAGGGAGCGUAGGUGGAUUGUUAAGUCAGUUGUGAAAGUUUGCGGCUCAACCGUAAAAUUGCAGUUGAAACUGGCAGUCUUGAGUACAGUAGAGGUGGGCGGAAUUCGUGGUGUAGCGGUGAAAUGCUUAGAUAUCACGAAGAACUCCGAUUGCGAAGGCAGCUCACUAGACUGCAACUGACACUGAUGCUCGAAAGUGUGGGUAUCAAACAGGAUUAGAUACCCUGGUAGUCCACGCCGUAAACGAUGACUACUAGGUGUCGGGUAGCAAAGCUAUUCGGUGCCGCAGCAAACGCAAUAAGUAGUCCACCUGGGGAGUACGUUCGCAAGAAUGAAACUCAAAGGAAUUGACGGGGGCCCGCACAAGCGGAGGAACAUGUGGUUUAAUUCGAUGAUACGCGAGGAACCUUACCCGGGCUUAAAUUGCAAAUGAAUAAUCUGGAAACAGGUUAGCCGCAAGGCAUUUGUGAAGGUGCUGCAUGGUUGUCGUCAGCUCGUGCCGUGAGGUGUCGUCUUAAGUGCCAUAACGAGCGCAACCCUUAUCUUUAGUUACUAACAGGUCAUGCUGAGGACUCUAGAGAGACUGCCGUCGUAAGAUGUGAGGAAGGUGGGGAUGACGUCAAAUCAGCACGGCCCUUACGUCCGGGGCUACACACGUGUUACAAUGGGGGGUACAGAAGGCAGCUACCUGGUGACAGGAUGCUAAUCCCAAAAACCUCUCUCAGUUCGGAUCGAAGUCUGCAACCCGACUUCGUGAAGCUGGAUUCGCUAGUAAUCGCGCAUCAGCCAUGGCGCGGUGAAUACGUUCCCGGGCCUUGUACACACCGCCCGUCAAGCCAUGAAAGCCGGGGGUACCUGAAGUACGUAACCGCAAGGAGCGUCCUAGGGUAAAACUGGUAAUUGGGGCU
rnacentral:rRNA from 1 species